rnacentral:rRNA from 1 species
UACAGAGGUCUCAAGCGUUGUUCGGAUUCAUUGGGCGUAAAGGGUGCGUAGGCGGGUCUUUAAGUCAGGGGUGAAAUCCUGGAGCUCAACUCCAGAACUGCCUUUGAUACUGAAGAUCUUGAGUUCGGGAGAGGUGAGUGGAACUGCGAGUGUAGAGGUGAAAUUCGUAGAUAUUCGCAAGAACACCAGUGGCGAAGGCGGCUCACUGGCCCGGUACUGACGCUGAGAUACGAAAGCGUGGGGAGCAAACAGG